GUGCUGCUUCAGCAGCACAUAUACUAAAAUUGGAACGAUAAGCAGAUUAGCAUGGCCCCUGAGCAAGAAUGACGUGCAAAUUCGUGAAGCGUUCCACAUUUAA